rnacentral:lncRNA from 1 species
UUGCAGAUCAAAGCUGAUAUUUCCAUUGUCUCUCUAGUAUGAAUUUAUAGUUUAGACAAACACAGAGACACAGAAAGGAAACAGCAAAACAAAAAGUCAGCAUCUUUUCCUCUCGUCAGGCAUGGAACUGGUCGAUAAGGUCCAGAGCUCUCAAUCUGGUCCCAAGAGGGUCAAAAGCCCCUUUGAUUGUUGUUCCGUCGACGUAUCCAUCAUCGGCGGCGGAAGAAGG